AGAACAUCGGCUGUUGAAUCGAGUCGCGCGGAUGUCCUUUGAAAGUUAAUUGCCCGUAAAACGACAUGUUCAAGCGGGGUGUGUGAUAUAAUAACAUUUUCUCGCCCCGCAACCACACCCCGCGCGCAUCAUCAGCUACGUAUUACGCGUUAUGGUCAUUGAAUUUUUUCGCUCUCCCGCUCCCCCGCCCCUUCUUUUAUUAUGAUAAAUACGCCUAUCUGCACAAGCCAGAAACCUGAAAUAACCGUCGAAUCG